GCCCGCCUGGCAAGGAAAACACAGCGGGGCCGGCGCCCGGCGGGGGCGGGUGAGGGCAGCCCGGGAAGGAGCCACUUCCUCCCGCUGCGGCCGGGAGGGGGGAGCGGGGGGGCAAGUUCCCCUGGAGCCAUGGACAGGGCAGGCAGGAUGCAGUCUGAAAUCGGACGAGGUGUCAGGAACGUACACAGCAAGGGAAACUAGACCAGCGAAAUCCAGAGCACAGCCACAGACUGGGAUCAGGCAAAGAAAGGGCACUUGUCCUCCACCGUGCGGCAUCUCUCUCCCCGGGGGGACAGGUUCCAGUGUGGACUGAGCCAUAAGGCGGGUGUGGAAGGAGGAGGCGUCAGGAUGUUCAGAGCCGCGCUUGUCGGCUGUUUGCCUGCGGCCCAAAAGGCUCCUGGAUUUAGAGUUUGCACCUGACGACACCUAUCAAGUAUUCUGUACGAGGCAGGAAUGCUCUUGGCUCAGGGCAUCCUAGGGCCGGCGUGAUCCAGGAGGUCAGUGGCCCUUUCUGGCUGGAAACUAUGGCUCAUUGGCCUGAACAAUGAACAUAGCCUAACAGAGCAUAACACAGAAUGUUAACGCAGAAGACAAGUUCCAACGCUGCCUUCCAGGGUCACCAAGGUGAUGUCACUCGGGUGGCUAACGCCCGUGGGAGUUAAAGCCCUCUGAGGAUCCGGCCCUCGGUAUCUCCCACUGGUUGACAGAAAACAGAGAUUUCCUAGGAACUUCCUUAAUUGGCUUGAACAUUUUGUGUCAGUAAAUAAAUAACCAGAAGCACUGAA